GGUCAAGCUAAUAAGAGCGCAGGGUGGAUGCCUUGGCACUAAGAGCCGAUGAAAGACGUGAUAAGCUGCGAUAAGCUGCGGUGAGGAGCAAAUAUCCUUUGACCCGCAGAUUUCUGAAUGGGGAAACCUGGCGGAGUAAACCUCCGUUACUGUAUGGUGAAUACAUAGCCAUGCAGGGGGAACCCGGGGAACUGAAACAUCUAAGUACCCGGAGGAAAAGAAAGAAAACUCGAUUUCCUGAGUAGUGGCGAGCGAAAGGGAAAGAGCCUAAACCGAAGGAUUUAUCCUUCGGGGUUAAGGACCGCAACAAGUGAGUCGUAUGGUAGCAGAACGGUUUUGGGAAAGCCGGCUAUAGAGAGUGAAAGCCUCGUAUGCGAAACCAGAAGACAGCGAGCGGUAUCCAAAGUA
rnacentral:rRNA from 1 species